rnacentral:rRNA from 1 species
AAAUGAAUUGACGGGACCCCGCACAAGUAGCGGAGCAUGUGGUUUAAUUCGAAGCAACGCGAAGAACCUUACCAAGUCUUGACAUCCUCUGACGUCAUUAGAGAUAGUGAUUUCCUUUCGGGGACAGAGAGACAGGUGGUGCAUGGUUGUCGUCAGCUCGUGUCGUGAGAUGUUGGGUUAAGUCCCGCAACGAGCGCAACCCUUGUGUUUAGUUGCCAGCAUGAAAGAUGGGCACUCUAAACAGACUGCCGUAGAUAAUACGGAGGAAGGUGGGGAUGACGUCAAAUCAUCAUGCCCCUUAUGACCUGGGCUACACACGUGCUACAAUGGGAUGUACAGAGGGUAGCGAAGUAGUGAUACGAAGCCAAUCUCAAAAAACAUCUCUCAGUUCGGAUUGCAGGCUGCAACUCGCCUGCAUGAAGUCGGAGUUACUAGUAAUCGUAAAUCAGAAUGUUACGGUGAAUGCGUUCCCGGGGUUUGUACACACCGCCCGU